AGGACGAACGCUGGCGGCGUGCUUAACACAUGCAAGUCGAGCGGAAAGGCCCUUCGGGGUACUCGAGCGGCGAACGGGUGAGUAACACGUGAGCAACCUGCCCUUAGCUCUGGGAUAGGCUCCGGGAAACCGGAAUUAAUACCGGAUAUUACACCGGCUGGCAUCGGCUGGUGUGGAAAGAUUUAUCGGCUAAGGAUGGACUCGCGGCCUAUCAGCUUGUGGUGGGUAGAAGCCUACCAAGGCGACGACGGGUA
rnacentral:rRNA from 1 species